GCGGAGAUGGCGGAAUGGUAGACGCGUCAGGUUGAGGGCCUGAUGGGCUUAGGCUCAUGGGAGUUCGACUCUCCCUCUCCGCA
rnacentral:tRNA from 1 species